CUUUGGAGUGUGGGAGGAAACCCACGCAUGUCUCGGGGGAGAAUGUACAAACUCCAUACAGACAGCACCCGCAGUCGGGAUCGAACCCGGGUCUCUGGCGCUG